AAGUCGUAACAAGGUUUCCGUAGGUGAACCUGCGGAAGGAUCAUUACUGAGCUGUCGACACGAGCUGUUGCUGGUCCUCAGAAUAGGGGACAUGUGCACGCUCUGUUCACACAUCCACUCACACCUGUGCACCCUCUGUAGUUCUAUGGUUGGGAGGACGCACCGUCUUCCUCCUGUAGUUCUACGUUUUUACACAUACACCGUAGUGAAGUUUUAUCGAAUGUGCACCGCGUUUAACGCAAUACAAUACAACUUUCAGCAACGGAUCUCUUGGCUCUC
rnacentral:misc_RNA from 1 species